UGUUAAUUCUUGGCGCGAAUCUUUAUGGAAUAGCUAAAUAUUACAUACACCAUGCUCUUUUGCAGGCCAGAGCCAGAGCCAGAGCCAGAGUCAGUCAUAACCACAAGAUUUGCAAGUAUUUCUAGUGAUGGACAUGUCGUCAGCAACAAUCUCAAUCUCAUCACUUGGAUAAACAGCAUCCCCCUUAACUGGAGGAACUACCGAUGUUGACCGAGUUCUUCCCUUUUUCUUAAAAUCAAAUAUGUCCUCGUGUAUGCCCAUGUGAGUGUGGGUGUAUUCACGAGGACCUCCUUUUUCCUAUUCCGCCUGUGGUGGAUUCUGCGGAUGGAAUUGUGGAUGCCUGGCUGUGGAUUUCCCGGGCUUCAAAGUAGGAAACAUUUAUCUCUAUUCUUACUU